CCUUCGCAUGGAGGGGCCGGGAAAGCCUGGCGCGGCAAGGGAUGGGGUCGCGGCCCAUCAGGUAGACGGCGGGGUAGCGGCCCACCGUGCUUUCGACGGGUAGCCGGGUUGAGAGACCGACCGGCCACAUUGGGACUGAGAUACGGCCCAGACUCCUACGGGAGGCAGCAGUGGGGAAUUUUGCGCAAUGGGGGCAACCCUGACGCAGCAACGCCGCGUGCGGGAUGACGGCCUUCGGGUUGUAAACCGCUUUCAGCAGGGAAGACCGACGACGGUACCUGCAGAAGAAGCCCCGGCUAACUACGUGCCAGCAGCCGCGGUAAUACGUAGGGGGCGAGCGUUAUCCGGAUUCAUUGGGCGUAAAGCGCGCGUAGGCGGCGCGCCAAGCGGAACCUCUAACCUCGGGGCUCAACCUCGAGCCGGGUUCCGAACUGGCGCGCUCGAGUUCGGUAGAGGCAGGCGGAAUUCCCGGUGUAGCGGUGGAAUGCGCAGAUAUCGGGAAGAACACCGAUGGCGAAGGCAGCCUGCUGGGCCGACACUGACGCUGAGGUGCGAAAGCUAGGGGAGCGAACAGGAUUAGAUACCCUGGUAGUCCUAGCCGUAAACGAUGGACGCUAGGUGUGGGGAGGAUCGCCUCUCCGUGCCGAAGCCAACGCAU
rnacentral:rRNA from 1 species